AACGAACGCUGGCGGCAGGCUUAACACAUGCAAGUCGAACUCCCCGCACGGGGAGUUGUAGACGGGUGAGUAACACGUGGGAACGUGCACUAAGGUUUGGAAUAUUCCCGGGAAAAUGGGAGAAAUACCAAAUGUGUCCGCAAGGAGACAGAUGUAUCGCCUUAGGAUCGGCCCGCGGCAGAGUAGGUAGUUGGUGGGGUAAUGGCCUACGAAGCCGACGAUCUGUAGCGCGUCUGAGAGGACGACCAGCCAUACUGGGACCGAGACGCGGACCAGACUCCUACGGGAGGCAGCAGUGGGGAAUCUUGGACAAUGGGCGCAAGCCUGAUCCAGCCAUGCCGCGUGGAUGAUGAAGGCCCUAGGGUUGUAAAAUACUUUCGUUGGGGAAGAUGAUGACGGUACCCAAAGAAGAAGCGCCGGCUAACUUCGUGCCAGCAGCCGCCGUAACAC
rnacentral:rRNA from 1 species